UACGUAGGUGGCAAGCGUUUGUCCGGAAUUAUUGGGCGUAAAGCGCGCGCAGGUGGUUUCUUAAGUCUGAUGUGAAAGCCCACGGCUCAACCGUGGAGGGUCAUUGGAAACUGGGGAACUUGAGUGCAGAAGAGGAAAGUGGAAUUCCAAGUGUAGCGGUGAAAUGCGUAGAGAUUUGGAGGAACACCAGUGGCGAAGGCGACUUUCUGGUCUGUAACUGACACUGAGGCGCGAA
rnacentral:rRNA from 1 species